CCUCACUGCUAUCGGGGUGGGACUAAGACAUGCGAGUCGUACGCCUCCCGGCUGCCGGGGGAGGCGUGGCGCACGGCUCCGUAACACGUGGCUAACCUACCCUUGGGACGGGGAUAACCCCGGGAAACUGGGCUAAUCCCCGAUAGGCGAGGAUGCCUGGAAUGGUUCCUCGCCGAAAGGGCGCCGGCACCGUGCUGUCGGCGUCGCCCGAGGAUGGGGCCGCGGCCGAUCAGGUUGUUGGUGGGGUAACGGCCCACCAAGCCGAUAACCGGUACGGGCCGUGAGAGCGGGAGCCCGGAGAUGGGCACUGAGAUAAGGGCCCAGGCCCUGCGGGGCGCAGCAGUCGCGAAACCUCCGCAAUGCGCGAAAGCGCGACGGGGCCACCCCGAGUGCCGCCCGCUGAGGGUGGCUUUUCCCCGGUGUAGAUAGCCGGGGGAAUAAGGGGAGGGCAAGUCUGGUGUCAGCCGCCGCGGUAAUACCAGCUCCCCGAGUGGUGGGGAUGAUUAUUGGGCCUAAAGCGUCCGUAGCCGGCCCGGCAAGUCUCCCGUUAAAUCCAGCGAUCUAAUCGCUGGACUGCGGGAGAUACUGUUGGGCUAGGGGGCGGGAGAGGCCGGCGGUAUUCCCGGGGUAGGGGUGAAAUCCUAUAAUCCCGGGAGGACCACCAGUGGCGAAGGCUGCCGGCUGGAACGCGCCCGACGGUGAGGGACGAAAGCCGGGGGAGCGAACCGGAUUAGAUACCCGGGUAGUCCCGGCUGUAAACGAUGCGGGCUAGGUGUUUGGACGGCUACGGGUCGUCCAAGUGCCGCAGGGAAGCCGUUAAGCCCGCCGCCUGGGGAGUACGGCCGCAAGGCUGAAACUUAAAGGAAUUGGCGGGGGAGCACCACAAGGGGUGAAGCUUGCGGUUU
rnacentral:rRNA from 1 species